rnacentral:rRNA from 1 species
GACGAACGCUGGCGGCGUGCUUAACACAUGCAAGUCGAACGGUAAGGCCCUUCGGGGUACACGAGUGGCGAACGGGUAAGUAACACGUGGGUGAUCUGCCCUGCACUUCGGGAUAAGCCUGGGAAACUGGGUCUAAUACCGGAUAGGACUCCUGGCUUCAUGGUUGGGGGUGGAAAGCUUUUGCGGUGUGGGAUGGGCCCGCGGCCUAUCAGCUUGUUGGUGGGUAAUGGCCUACCAAGGCGACGACGGGUAGCCGGCCUGAGAGGGUGACCGGUCACACUGGGACUGAGAUACGGCCCAGACUCCUACGGGAGGCAGCAGUGGGGAAUAUUGCACAAUGGGCGCAAGCCUGAUGCAGCGACGCCGCGUGAGGGAUGACGGCCUUCGGGUUGUAAACCUCUUUCAGCUAUGACGAAGCGCAAGUGACGGUAGUAGCAGAAGAAGGACCGGCCAACUACGUGCCAGCAGCCGCCGUAA